UCUAUAGAUUCUCUUCAAAGGUGUCUCCCGAGUGGUAUUUUAGUGGGGCAAGAUGAAAAAAGCAAGAGUUAUUUUAUUUAUUUAUUUAUAUGUAAGAGUAAUAGUUAUAAAUAACCAAUACAACCAACCAAUGCAACCAAUCAAAAAUUUAAUAAGAACGUUGGCUACUAAGGCCUUCAGCUCGAGAUUCAUAUUUUGAGAAAUGUCGGAUGAGAGUAACAAUAAACCAAGAGUUAUUUCGCCAAAAAUCUGGACCUCCUUUCGCGAAUAUCUUCACGCAAAAGAUGUAUAACACAUAAAUAUAUAUUGAAGAAAAUAUACACCAAAAAAUAAAAGAUAAAAAAAAUUGCAAAUCUAUAUAAUCGAGUAGAUUAAAUUGGAAAGUCACUUUUUAAUUUUAUCGAACAUGUAUUUUGUGGGUACUAAUACUCCAGUAGAACCAUAACAGAUAUCUCUCUUAGAUGAAAGACGACUUGUUUUGACAUGAGCUUUGACCAAUAUUUCACAGUCAUCCCCCUUAUUGUGGAACAGAAAAGAAAUAAAAGGUGUAACUAACCGACAAGCCAACGUGUUGUUGGAGGAAUUAUCAAAGGCUAUAAAAACGAAGAUAGCGGCUUUUGAGAAACUCCCUAUGCAGAUGUUUGCAGAUAUAGUCUGCUGAAUAUUUGUUUACGAGCAAGAGCGACGGUGGAAUUAUAACAUAUUUGAAAAAAAAAUUUCAGAAAAUAACCGAUUUCAACAUAUAUACGUGACAUUUUUAGGUGUAAACAAACAUAACCCUACAAAAAAG